GCCUGGCUGGCUCAGUUAGUAGAGCAUAUGACUCUUGAUCACAGGGUCAUGAGUUUAAGACCUAUGCUAGGCA
rnacentral:tRNA from 1 species